UACGGGGGGGGCAAGCGUUGUUCGGAAUUACUGGGCGUAAAGGGCUCGUAGGCGGCCAACUAAGUCGGAUGUGAAAUCCCCAGGCUUAACCUGGGAACUGCAUCCGAUACUGGAUGGCUUGAAUUCGGGAGAGGGAUGCAGAAUUCCAGGUGUAGCGGUGAAAUGCGUAGAUAUCUGGAGGAAUACCGGUGGCGAAGGCGGAUCUCUGGGCCGAUACUGAUGCUGAGGAGCGAAAGCGUGGGGAGCGAACAGG
rnacentral:rRNA from 1 species